UAUUUGGAACUCAACAUGAUGUAACAUUUCAUGACUCACCUGUUUUGUCAAAAAUAAAAUAGAUAAUCCCUCAUAAUUAAGCUAACCCUAACCAAAAGAGAAAGAGAGAGAGAAACUAGAGAGAGAUAGAAACUAGAGUGAGAGAGAGAGAGAAGAGUAACACCUGAAUUUGGAUGAUAAUAAGAAAGAAAUUGUAUACUCCAAAUUCAGGGUGUUACACACUUCAACAAACAGAUCAUGCUUUAAAUGCAGGUAGGUCAGACAUUAUGCCAACAACUGUCCUAACAAGGCUGCUUACACUACUCUAGCUCCGAUGAGGCAAAGUCAUGCCUUAGUAGGUAAAAGCCAAGCCUUAUCCAUCAACCGGGGACAAUAAAACUCCGUGCAUGGACAAGUUAACCAUGUGGAGGUAGAAAAUGAACCCGAAGAACCCGAAGACCUGGAAGAGGUGCCAGGAGAAGAUGAGAAAGUCGAUGAAGAAGAUAAUGAGCAGCAAAAUUAGAGUCUUCUAUCUUUGUACCAAUCUCGAGGUCGAGAUUUUCUUUAAGGGGGUAGGAUUUCUAGACACUAAAUAUGACAUUAAGGAAUUUAGCUAUUUUUUUUCAAGGAAUAAUAUUAUAACUCAUUUGAAUAUGUGUUCUAUAAUCGACACUUGUUACUUCUUACAAAAAGAACUAUAGUUGCAUUCAUGCUGAGAUAUUGAUUGCUACAUUUGUAUUUGAGAAUCUAUAUUAGAAAGUGUUUUUCUUAAGAUAGUACAUUUUGCAUAUAGGAAUUCCAUAUUGAAGAGCAAUUGUUUAAUAAAUAAAACAAGGCAAUAAACCAAUAGAUAAAACUAAAUUAGACAUGCAUGCUGGAAUUUUUGGUUGUGCAUUUAUGAUUAAAGUUGAAACCUAGACCUGAAUACAAAUUUGAAAAUAGAAUGAAAAAUAGGAAAUAGGAAUAAAGAAGAAAAGGGGCUAGACCUACUCGCGGGCCAAUUCUCUGUUGCCCCAUUUCCUUUUUCCCCAUCAGCCUAAUACCUCGAACUGGCCAGCUUCAGAAACGCGUCCGUCCCUGGCUCAUCUUCGCGCUAACGUGUGGGCCACAACCG
rnacentral:lncRNA from 1 species